UGGGGAAUUUUGGACAAUGGGGGCAACCCUGAUCCAGCAAUGCCGCGUGAGUGAAGAAGGCCUUCGGGUUGUAAAGCUCUUUUGUCAGGGAAGAAACGGUGGCCUCUAAUAUAGGUUGCUAAUGACGGUACCUGAAGAAUAAGCACCGGCUAACUACGUGCCAGCAGCCGCGGUAAUACGUAGGGUGCAAGCGUUAAUCGGAAUUACUGGGCGUAAAGCGUGCGCAGGCGGUUAUGUAAGUCAGAUGUGAAAUCCCCGGGCUUAACCUGGGAAUGGCAUUUGAGACUGCAUGGCUAGAGUGUGUCAGAGGGGGGUAGAAUUCCACGUGUAGCAGUGAAAUGCGUAGAGAUGUGGAGGAAUACCGAUGGCGAAGGCAGCCCCCUGGGAUAACACUGACGCCCAUGCACGAAAGCGUGGGGAGCAAACAGGAUUAGAUACCCUGGUAGUCCACGCCCUAAACGAUGUCUACUAGUUGUCGGGUCUUAAUUGACUUGGUAACGCAGCUAACGCGUGAAGUAGACCGCCUGGGGAGUACGGUCGCAAGAUUA
rnacentral:rRNA from 1 species